rnacentral:rRNA from 1 species
CAGACGGAAUUGCCGAGCGGAUCCUUCGGGUGAGGCGUAGUAAUGAAUAUUCUUCCAAGAAAAACGAGUAUAGCAACCGGUACCGCAAACCGACACAGGUAGACGGGAUGAGUAUUCUAAGGCGCUUGGGUGAGCCGUGGAGAAGGAACUAGGCAAAUUGACGCUGUAACUUCGGGAUAAAGCGUACCAUCUUCGGAUGGUCUCAGUAAAAUGGUUCAACCAACUGUUUAACAAAAACACAGGGCCCUGCAAAAUCGUAAGAUGACGUAUAGAGCCUGAUACCUGCCCGGUGCUGGAAGGUUAAGGAAGGGUGUUCGGCGCAAGCCAAAGCUCCUGACUGAAGCCCCAGUAAACGGCGGCCGUAACUAUAACGGUCCUAAGGUAGCGAAAUUCCUUGUCGGGUAAGUUCCGACCUGCACGAAUGGUCUAAUGAGUUGAACGCUGUCUCCUCCACGAGCCCAGUGAAAUUGUAGUAUCGGUGAAGAUGCCGGUUACCCGCCACGGGACGGAAAGACCCCGUGAACCUUCACUAUAGCUUUGCAUUGAUUUUGAAUUACGGAUGUGUAGAAUAGUUGGGACUCUUUGAAGCAUUGCCGCCAGGUAGUGUGGAGAGGUCGUUGAAAUACCAACCUUCUUUGAUUUAGGAUCUAAUCCCUUGCGGGAAACAGUGCAUGGUGGGUAGUUUGACUGGGGUGGUCGCCUCCUAAAGAGUAACGGAGGCUUGCAAAGGUACCCUCAGUACGGUUGGUAAUCGUACGUAGAGCGCAUUAGUAUAAGGGUGCUUGACUGUGAGGCAUACAAGCCGAGCAGGGACGAAAGUCGGCUAAAGUGAUCCGGCGGUUCUGUAUGGAAGGGCCGUCGCUCAAAGGAUAAAAGGUACUCCGGGAUAACAGGCUGAUCUCCCCCAAGAGCUCAUAUCGACGGGGAGGUUUGGCACCUCGAUGUCGGUUCGUCACAUCCUGGGGCUGGAGAAGGUCCCAAGGGUUCGGCUGUUCGCCGAUUAAAGUGGCACGUGAACUGGGUUCAGAACGUCGCAAGACAGUUCGGUCCCUAUCUGUGGUGGGCGCAAGUAAAUUGAGAAGACGUGACCUUAGUACGAGAGGACCGGGUCGCACGUACCGCUGGUGUAUCAGUUGUGCCGCCAGGUGCAAUGCUGAGUAGCUAUGUACGGCAAGGAUAAACGCUGAAAGCAUCUAAGCGUGAAACCUUCUUCAAGAUGAGUUUACUUUUAAGGGUCGUCAGAGACUAUGACGUUGAUAGGCUACAGGUGUAAAACUGGUAACAGUAAAGCCGAGUAGUACUAAUUGCCCGUACGCUUUAACAA